UACGGGGGGAGCAAGCGUUGUUCGGAUUUACUGGGCGUAAAGGGCGCGUAGGCGGCCACUGCAAGUCAGUUGUGAAAUCUCCGGGCUUAACCCGGAAAGGUCAACUGAUACUGCAGGGCUAGAGUGCAGAAGGGGCAACUGGAAUUCUCGGUGUAGCGGUGAAAUGCGUAGAUAUCGAGAGGAACACCUGCGGCGAAGGCGGGUUGCUGGGCUGACACUGACGCUGAGGCACGAAAGCCAGGGGAGCGAACGGG
rnacentral:rRNA from 1 species